rnacentral:rRNA from 1 species
GUUGACCUCGGAUCAGGUAGGGAUACCCGCUGAACUUAAGCAUAUCAAUAAGCGGAGGAAAAGAAACCAACAGGGAUUGCCUCAGUAACGGCGAGUGAAGCGGCAAGAGCUCAAAUUUGAAAUCUGGCUCCUUCGGGGCCCGAGUUGUAAUUUGUAGAGGAUGCUUCGGGCGUGGCCGCGGUCUAAGUCCCCUGGAACGGGGCGUCGCAGAGGGUGAGAAUCCCGUCUUCGGCCGGCCGGCCCCGCCCGUGUGAAGCUCCUUCGACGAGUCGAGUUGUUUGGGAAUGCAGCUCUAAAUGGGUGGUAAAUUUCAUCUAAAGCUAAAUACUGGUCGGAGACCGAUAGCGCACAAGUAGAGUGAUCGAAAGAUGAAAAGCACUUUGAAAAGAGAGUUAAACAGCAUGUGAAAUUGUUGAAAGGGAAGCGCUUGCGACCAGAGUCGGCCGCGGGGGCUCAGCGGGCACUCGUUGCCCGUGCACUCCCCCGUGGUCGGGCCAGCGUCGGUUUCGACGGCCGGUCAAAGGCCCCCGGAAUGUGUCGCCUCUCGGGGCGUCUUAUAGCCGGGGGUGCAAUGCGGCCAGUCGGGACCGAGGAACGCGCUCCGGCACGGACGCUGGCUUAAUGGUCGUAAGCGACCCGUCUUGAAACACGGACC